GCCAGAGUCCAGACAAGUAUUUUGGCACCUCCAACGCGUGGCAGAACACAGAGAGGAAAAGAGAGACCCUGUUAUCCUUCCGCAGGGGUGGCCAUUCAGCCUCUCAGAGAUGGAAGUUAAGGUUUCCUUUGGUGAAACCCAUGUGGAAACAUGAUCUGGGCUGUCUUCCUUGUGGACAUAACAUCACCUUUUGGGGAAAUAAGACUUCAUUCUUCAAAUGCUGAGGAAGAAAAGGGGUUCAUAGGGCAGAGCUAAUACUCAGCUUGCAUGAACCAGUCCAGCUGGCAGAUGUGGUAAGCAUCUCUUCUGAUUGGUUGGGGCCUGUAUCCAGUGGUUAAAUAUUUUGAAUAUUACCCCUCUACCAUGGACUGAACUUUGUUCUUCCCACCAAAUUAAUAGGUUGAAGCUCCAACCACUAAGUAUGUGACUGUAUUUGGUGACAAGGCCAUUACAGAAGUAAUUCAGGCUAGAUGAGGUCAUGCGGGUGGGGCUCUGAUGGAUAGAAUUAGUGUCCUUAUUAGUAGAGACAUCAGAGCAGUCAUUCUCUCCUUUUUUCCUCUUGCUCUCUCUCUUCACCAUGUGAAGAAACAGUGAGAAAUUGGCCAUCUGCAACCCAAGAAGAGAGUUCUUAUCAGACACCAACUCUGCUGGCAUCUUGAUCUUGGACUUCCCAGCCUUCAGAACAGUGGAAAAAUGAAUUUCUAUUGUUCAAGCCCCCAAGUCCGUGGUACUUGGUUAUGGCAGCCUGAGCAGACUAAGAUACCUCCCAUUAAAUAUUAAUUCUCCCUGAAAAUUCCAGAAGUUCAUUUAGUCAUCUUUAGGAUAUGGUAACUUGAAAGAGAUGUUUUUAGUGGCCAUUUGCAGCUUAUCUGUUAUCUGUAAUUACAUAAAAGCAGAUUUCAAGUUUAAAUUUCGAUUGCAUCAAGCCUCUAGGUUCAGUGUAUGUCACCUCUGUCCCCUCUGAACACCCUCUGGAAGAAGGCGUUCCUACUAAAGAGGAAUUCUUCAUCCAAUUCCCAGCCAGGGGAUAACCUCAGCCCACAGCCCACAGCCCACAGACAUCUUCCUUCCCCCCAGGCCCUAGAAAAUCUUAAAGCAUGGGUAAAGAAAAAGGAAAAUCUUCCCAUUGGACAUAUCAUGCCUCACAUGCCUUGGUAUGUGAAGAUAAACCAAACAAUCAUUUGGGAUAAAUGUAUCCUGGGGUGGGCCAUAGGAAGGAGAGGAGAGACAGAAAAACAA